UCUCCCCAAAAGGUAUAGCCUAGGAUUAGAAGUAGCUUACUGAAGAAAAAAAAAAAAUAAGCCUUUAAUAAAGUAUAUUCUUCUUUUGCUCUCCUCCUUCAACAUAUCCCAAAGCCCAAUUCUUGUACAGAUGCUACAAUCAUUUGGGAAAAAAUAAAAUGUAUUCCACUAGUGUGGAACCAGCCAAAAUAAAAGGCAAAGCCAAAUAUGAAUGUGCAAAACCUCCAGUUCCCAAACUAAAUUCAUAUAUCCAAGACAUGUGGCAUGUCAAGAGAGGACCAGCAAGACUGUACGGCUUAAAUUAACUCAUGUGUCCCCAGAGGCUUUCUUCCCACAAACUCCAGAAGCACAUUUUUAGACCUCAGAGAUGGUGGAAACCAUCCAAACUUCAUGCCAAUGCCAAAAAUGGAUUUUAAAAAAUAUGAACAUAAAACAUUAAUCAGAUAACCUAGAAUAAAUUUCUCCACUGAAGUUGUAUUUUCUUCCCUCUGUGAUGUUAGAUCAAGAUAGGCAGGUGUGCAUUAGUUGUCAGGUAAGAGCAAUCUGCCAAAGAGCACAUGCUCUCCCUGGCUGUGAUUUGGACCCCAGAGAAGCUGGGGUGCGUGUACGGGCCAUUGUUAAUUGCAUGUCUCAUUACAUUGUGUAAGCAGAUGCCAUUUGGUAUGCCUUUGAAGGAUCUUAAUGCAGGAAAACAGGAACAAAUUCAUUAAAAAACUCAAACUGGGCCUUGUCAGAAAUUUUUCUUAUCUACAGUUUUCAGUGGUUCAUAUAGAAUUAUCUUUUUUUCUCAUUCCCCAUGCCUGUGAACUACUGAAAACAACCCAUGAAUGGUGGCACAGCAUUUUGCAAACCUGAACCACUGCUUGCUUUUUUCUUAAGCUUCAUUUCUAUGUUGUUUCUGACCCUUGGAAUCCAUUUCCCCUCUUAUUGAACACAUUUCAGAAUGGUUGGCUAUAGUGGUGAUACCUUUUAUUGUUGUCCCUCAGUGGGGACUGUUUCCUCAUGGAAAAGCCUAUGGAGAAGGUCUGUGGUCCCUGGUGGAAAUGUGCUAAAUAAACCCAAAGUGGGUACUUGCUGUAUAUGCUUGUGGUAUCAGUGCAGCAAGUAGGGCUGAAAACCUGCCAGGACAGGAGGAAUCCCAUCUGUGUUCCCACCACCACCACCACCCCCACCGAGAGAGAAGCCAUGCAUUCUGCUCUCCGAAUGGGCAGCUUGGUCUUACACGUUUGCUCCUUGCCUCACCCCAACACCCUACCUUGGACCAAGACACCUCAACCUAGAAUGUCCUCUCCCAUCCCUGCAGCCACCAAUGGCAUUCCACUGUAUAAAUCCGUAUUCUCAGAUGUCUCAGAGGACUUUUAAGUUUUUCCCUGCUGUUCCCCAUUUGUUUUACCUUGGCUACUCAUCCUAGCUUCUGAAGGAGCUUCUGAAUGCCCCUAUCUGCGCAGCAAAACCCAAGCACCAUGGUAGGAGCUACAGAGCAGUUCACUGCCUUGUGCCCUUCUCUCCCAGCUAAGGAAUCUUCCAUUUUCAAACUGCUUGAGAAGCUGCACCCAAGGCAAGUUAAAGCUUCAGAGUCAGAACACUGGACAGUGACCACCUGAGAAUGUGCUCUAUUUUAAUCGACGUGAUAGCGUGUGGGAGGUUAGAGGCAUGUGGAGAAAACCAGAUGAUUUUGGAGCCUGGGAAGCUAAACGGAGCCUUCAUCAGAGGAAGCAAUCUGACUAAAGGGAUAGAAGACAGCUGAGGACCUGUGCUGGUGAGCGUCUCUCUAUAAAUAGCAGUUGAGACCCUCCCUAGUGGGAAACGCCUGGGGAAAGAGAACCCACACCUGGAAUGCUCUCAGAACUCUGCAGCCAGUUCAGAAUUUCCUGUUAACUGCGAAUAAUAAAAACAUGAUAAACAGAUCAUUAAGUUUUCUUCUGAAACAUUUAAGUAUCGGUAUAUGGGCAGCAGCUGUGAAUGAGUUGUGUCUAUAGAUAGGAAAUACAUUUUCAAAAACUCACUUAGAAAAACUGACCUUCGUUAGUUAAAGAUAUAGGGCUGCCAAUGUAUACUCAGGAAUUCUAUUUCUUCUGUAUUACUAUAACUGGAAUAUCUCCCUGCAUAUUUAUAAUUUGCCUGUCACAUGACUCCUCUGCUCAAAACCCCAAAAGUUCCCAGUUUCCUCAGUAAAACCAAAGUCCUAGAGAAGAAUGGAAGACAAGCCAUAGACUAAGAGAAAGUAUUUACAUAAGACAUAUACAAUCAAGGACUUGUACCCGAAAUAUACAAAGCAUUCCUAAAACUCAACAAUAAUAAAACAAACAGCCCAACUUAAAAAUGGGCAAAAGACCUGAACAGACUCCUUGCCAAAGAAGAUAUAUAGAUGGCAAGUAAGCAUAUGAAAACAUGCUCCAUAUCAUAUAUCAUCAGAGAACUGAAAAUUAAAACAAGGAGAAACCACUACACACCUAUUAAAAUGGCCAGAAUCCAACACCAUUUGCUGGUGAGGAUGUGGCACAACAAGAACUCUCAUUCAAUCCUGGUGGGGAUGCAAAAUGGCGCCAACAAUUUGGUGGUUUCUUACCAAACUUAACAUAUUCAUACCAUACGAUCCAGCAAUCUUGCUCCUUUGGUGCUUCAACCCAAGAGCUGAAAACACAUCCUUGCAAAAACCUGAACACAAAUGUCUACAGCAGCUUUAUUUGCCAAAACCUGGAUGUAAUCAAGAUGACCUGCAGUAGUGAAUGUGUAAAUAAACUGAGGUGCAUCCAGACAGUGGGAAACCAGAGAUAAAAAAGAAAUGAUCUGUUAAGCCAUAAGAAGACAUGGAGGAAACUUAAAUGCAUAUUUCUAAGGGACAGCAGCCGAUCUGAAGAGGCUACAUCCUGUAUGAUUUCAACUAUAUGGCAUUCUGGAAAAGGCACAACUAUGGAGACAGUAAGAUCAGUGGUUGCCAGGGGCUGGCAGAAUGAACAGACAAGCACGGAAGAUUUUCAGGGCAGUGGAACCACUCUGUAUGACACUGUAAUGGUGGAUACAUGUCAUUAUACAUUUGUCCAAACCCAUAGGGUACACAACAAAGCGAACCCUAAUAUAUACUGUGGACUUUAGUUAAUAAUGUAUCAGUAUCGGUUCAAUGGUGACAAGUAUACCGCGCUAAUGACAAUGUUAAUAGGGGAAAGAGGGGGUAGGUGGGAAUUCUCUGUACUUUCUGCCCAGUUUUCUGGAAACCUAAACUACUCUAGAAAAUAAAGCUUCUUAAUUUUUUUGAAGUCAGAGUCCCUGUGAUGGCUAAGCAAGCCCUGCACAAUCUGCUCUCUUGUUCCCUCCUUGAACUCAUCAGCCAGCUACUCUCCUCUAUUUCACAAUGAUCUCUGCUGUGUCCAGAACUUGCCAGGAAGGCUCUUACCUCAGGGCCUUUGCACAGGCUAUUCCCCUUGCCUGAAAUCCCAUCUCCCAGACAUUCACGUCAUUCCUUUGCUCAGAUUCAUGGAGUCUGGGGAUCCCUGGGUGGCGCAGCAGUUUGGUGCCUGCCUUUGGCCCAGGGCGCGAUCCUGGAGUCCCGGGAUCGAAUCCCACAUCAGGCUCCCGGUGCAUGGAGCCUGCUUCUCCCUCUGCCUGUGUCUCUGCCUCUCUCUCUCUCUCUGUGACUAUCAUAAAUAAAUAAAAAUUAAAAAAAAAAGAUUCAUGGAGUCUUUAUUUAAAUGCCACUUCUCAGUAACGUCUGCCCUAACUAUCAGAUAUAAAAUGGCAACAUUGCCUAGCUGCUGGCAUUCCCAUUCCUCCUCUUCCUGUUCCUUCUCUCCAGAGCACUUACAUGGUCUAACAUGCUAUGUAAUCUACUUGUGUCCUGCAUUAGGAAAGAGGCUGCAGAUGCAAAGUAUUCAGUCUGUCCGGGGAAAAAUGUCAACACCUGGUAGAUACAAGCAAUCAGUGUAUUAUUUGUUCAGUAAAAGUGAAGUUGAACAAUGCUGACAGAGCACCUAAAAUAUAAAAGUAGUAUCACUGUCAAGUAUGAGAAUCAAAUAUUUGAGACAGGUACUAUUCUAAAAAAAAAAAAAAACACUUGAUGGGACACAGGGGUGGCUCAUCAUUUGAAUGUCUGCCUUUGACCCAGGGUGUGAUCCCGGAGUCCCAGGAUCGAGUCCCACGUCGGGCUCCCUGCAUGGAGCCUGCUUUUCCCUCUGCCUGUGUCUCUUAUGAAUACGUAAAUAAAAUAUUUUUUAAAAAUAAAAUAAAAAUAAAAAACACUUGGAAGUAUAAUCACUACAGCCAAAGCGAUACAGAGAAAUGAAAGACAAUCUUGGGUUUUACUGUAAGUCUUAACCUUAACCCUUUCUGUCAAGAUCGACAGGUGCAUCCUGCAAAUGCCAGCUCAGCCUAGGGACAGCUGCCAGCCCCCUCCAUCCAGGGCUGCCCACAUUCAGCAUCCUGGGCUCCAUUUUCUCCUGUGUGUAUCAGGACAUCAGGUAGCCAGGAGCUGCCGGGAACUGCUGAGAGCCAGCACUCAGGUUUCAGCUUUCAUCUCUAUCACUAAGGAAAAUCGCUGGCUACAUGUUGGGUUCCCCCUAACCAGCUGGCAUGCUUUCUCAGGCCUCUGCAGGCUCCCAUCACCCAGCACUUCAAGCAGCCAUCCACAAGACCCAUAUGUUUAAUAGGGUUGCCUUAUAUUAGUUUCCUAAGUAUCACAAAGGAGCCAAAAAAAGCCACCAAAGACCUCGUGUGAUUCCGACAUUUCAGGGAGGAAGGGACAGAGGCUCACGCAGUAGACAGAGGGGAGGGACAGGCAUGAACGCCGGCAGCCGCCCACCUGCAGCUGUGACUAUCUUGCUGCCUGUGUGGCGCAGCCUCCUGUGUCUGUGACACGCUGAGAGAGUGGCCCUCUUGUGUCCCUUCAGGCAGUUUCCGCAGUUCAGGCUCAGCAAACUCCAGCAAGGGGGCCUGCUAUUCACUGCUUCUGCCCUCUGGCAUCUCCUCUGCCUGUCCAAUCUGGACUUUCAAAGGUCAGCUGCAACACAGACGUGGCAGAGAACAGGUGGCUUCCAGCAGUUCCUUGUGAAAUGGAUGGAGGGGGUGGAUUACAGACCAGACGUUAAUACAUUUAAGGCCUAAAGCCCAAGGCAAGAAUCGCCCUGCUGAGAGGCUGAGACAAGACUUUAAAACCUCGUGCUUUGGGGAUCCCUGGGUGGCGCAGCGGUUUGGCGCCUGCCUUUGGCCCAGGGCGCGAUCCUGGAGACCCGGGAUCGAAUCCCACAUCAGGCUCCCGGUGCGUGGAGCCUGCUUCUCCCU